rnacentral:rRNA from 1 species
UACCAGCUCUUCGAGUGGUGUGGAUGUUUAUUGGGCCUAAAGCAUCCGUAGCUGGCUGGGCAAGUCCCCUGUUAAAUCCACCGAUUUAAUCGUUGGAGUGCGGGGGAUACUGUUCGGCUAGGGGACGGGAGAGGCAGACGGUAUUUUCGGGGUAGGGGUGAAAUCCUAUAAUCCCGGGAAGACCACCAGUGGCGAAGGCUGUCUGCUAGAACGCGCCCGACGGUGAGGGAUGAAAGCUGGGGGGAGCGAACCGGAUUAGAUACCCGGGUAGUCCCAGCUGUAAACGAUGCAGGCUAGGUGUUUGGGCGGCCACGUGCCGCUCUAGUGCCGCAGGGAAGCCGUUAAGCCUGCCGCCUGGGGAGUACGGCCGCAAGGCUAGAAACUUAAAGGAAUUGGGCGGGGGAGCACCACAAGGGGUGAAGCUUGCGGUUU